UACGUAGGGGGCAAGCGUUGUCCGGAAUCAUUGGGCGUAAAGGGCUCGUAGGCGGCCAACUAAGUCAGACGUGAAAUCCCUCGGCUUAACCGGGGAACUGCGUCUGAUACUGGAUGGCUUGAGUUUGGGAGAGGGAUGCGGAAUUCCAGGUGUAGCGGUGAAAUGCGUAGAUAUCUGGAGGAACACCGGUGGCGAAGGCGGCAUCCUGGACCAACACUGACGCUGAGUGAGCGAAAGCCAGGGGAGCAAACGGGG
rnacentral:rRNA from 1 species